CAGAAAAUAGUUUACUUUCCAAUUCUGGCUUUGGGAGCCAGUGGUGAGAGCUAAAAUCUCUCUUUCUGG
rnacentral:tRNA from 1 species